AGCUUUGCGCAGUGGCAGUAUUGUAGCCAGUGAGGUUUAUCCGAGGCGCGAUUAUUGCUAAUUAAAAAUGUUAAAGUGUUUUUAUUUGUUUUAAGAGAGAGAGAAAGAGAG
rnacentral:snRNA from 1 species